rnacentral:lncRNA from 1 species
CUGGACAAGUCCCCAUUACAGCAUGAUUAAGUCUCAAAAGGUAACUAAACUCCACCAUGAUUUGAAUAAAACUCCAACUAGUUACAGAUGCAAAUCCUCCUGCAAAAUACUUCAGCUUAAUAGUAUGCAACCAGCAACAAAAUUUCCAUAAUAGGCCCAAUCAACCAGCAAAUUACGGCCCCUUAAAGUUCCUGCACCAACAACCAGCAAUUAAUAUAUUCCUAAAAAUUUCUGAUU